UGUUGAAGAUAUCCUGAAAUAGCCUUUACACUCAUCACUCCUUUACAAUUACAGCUAUUCCCAGCAGCCCAUUUUUUUCCUCAUAUCACAUUUAAGUCACGUGUAUUGGAUGAUGGAGUAACUGAUAGUUUGGGAUUCUGUCAGUGUGUGCUUCUGAGAGUGAAUGAUUCACAAUUGACAAGUAUCUAACAGACCCAUUUAUUCAGGAGAUUGACUAGUGGCAGUCAUGGGUAUGGUGGUACAUGAUUUCAACUUUCUUAUUUGAGACC
rnacentral:snoRNA from 1 species